rnacentral:rRNA from 1 species
GUGCCAGCAGCCGCGGUAAUACCGGCAGUCCGAGUGAUGGCCGAUCGUAUUGGGCCUAAAGCGUCCGUAGCUGGCCACGCAAGUCCAUCGGGAAAUCCACCUGCCCAACAGGUGGGCGCCCGGUAGAAACUGCGUGGCUUGGGACCGGAAGGCGCGACGGGUACGUCCGGGGUAGGAGUGAAAUCCCGUAAUCCUGGACGGACCGCCGAUGGCGAAAGCACGUCGCGAGAACGGAUCCGACCGUGAGGGACCAAAGCAAGGGCCUCGAACCGGAUUAGAUACCCCCGUAGUCC